CCUACGGGUGGCAGCAGUGAGGAAUAUUGGUCAAUGGACGCAAGUCUGAACCAGCCAUGCCGCGUGCAGGAAGACGGCCCUAUGAGUUGUAAACUGCUUUUGUACGAGGGUAAACGCAGAUACGCGUAUCUUUCUGAAAGUAUCUUACGAAUAAGGAUCGGCGAACCCCGUGCCAGCAGCCGCGGUAAUACGGAGGAUUCAAGCGUUAUCCGGAUUUAUUGGGUUUAAAGGGUGCGUAGGCGGUCGGAUAAGUUAGAGGUGAAAUCCCGAGGCUCAACUUCGGAAUUGCCUCUGAUACUGUUCGGCUAGAGAGUAGUAGCGGUAGGCGGAAUGUAUGGUGUAGCGGUGAAAUGCUUAGAGAUCAUACAGAACACCGAUUGCGAAGGCAGCUUACCAAGCUGCUUCUGACGUUGAGGCACGAAAGCGUGGGGAGCAAACAGGAUUAGAUACCCCAGUAGUC
rnacentral:rRNA from 1 species